rnacentral:rRNA from 1 species
GAUGAACGCUGGCGGCGUGCCUAAUACAUGCAAGUCGAGCGAACAGACGAGGAGCUUGCUCCUCUGACGUUAGCGGCGGACGGGUGAGUAACACGUGGAUACCCUACCUAUAAGACUGGGAUAACUUCGGGAAACCGGAGCUAAUACCGGAUAAUAUAUUGAACCGCAUGGUUCAUUAGUGAAAGACGGUUUUGCUGUCUCUUAUAGAUGCAUCCGCGCCGCGUUAGCUAGUUGGGAAGGUAACGGGUUACCAAGGCAACGAUGCGUAGCCGACGUGAGAGGGUGAUCGGCCACAUGGGAACUGGACCACGGUCCAGGCUCCUGCGGGAGGCAGCAGUAGGGAAUCUGCCGCAAUGGGCGAAAGCCUGACGGAGCAACGCCGCGUGAGUGAUGAAGGUCUUCGGAGCGUAAAACUCUGUUAUGAGGGAAGAACAAAUGUGUAAGUAACUAUGCACGGCUUGACGGUACCUAAUCAGAAAGCCACGGCUAACUACGUG